GAUGAACGCUGGCGGCGUGCCUAAUACAUGCAAGUCGAGCGAACAGACGAGGAGCUUACUCCUCUGACGUUAGCGGCGGACGGGUGAGUAACACGUGGAUAACCUACCUAUAAGACUGGGAUAACUUCGGGAAACCGGAGCUAAUACCGGAUAAUAUAUUGAACCGCAUGGUUCAAUAGUGAAAGACGGUUUUGCUGUCACUUAUAGAUGGAUCCGCGCCGCAUUAGCUAGUUGGUAAGGUAACGGCUUACCAAGGCAACGAUGCGUAGCCGACCUGAGAGGGUGAUCGGCCACACUGGAACUGAGACACGGUCCAGACUCCUACGGGAGGCAGCAGUAGGGAAUCUUCCCCAAUGGGCGAAAGCUUGACGGAGCAACGCCGCGUGAGUGAUGAAGGUCUUCGGAUCGUAAAACUCUGUUAUUAGGGAAGAACAAAUGUGUAAGUAACUAUGCACGUCUUGACGGUACCUAAUCAGAAAGCCACGGCUAACUACGUG
rnacentral:rRNA from 1 species